rnacentral:tRNA from 4 species
GCCCCCGUAGCUCAGAGGACAGAGCAGACGCCUUCUAAGCGUUUGGCCGCAGGUUCGAAUCCUGCCGGGGGCGCCA